ACUAUCAAUAUUCAUCGAAAUCACAUACUCGCGCGCGUCGUUGACUAAUAUCAUAAUAUAACACCAGCGGUUCUCAAACUGUAUUUUUUUCGCGUAGUCCUCGAGUUGCCAAAAAAACCUACAGAGCUUCGAUUUCCAAAUAUCAGAAAUACCGAUUUUGAACCAGAAAUCGUUUGAUUUUUGAUUUCUCGUCUUUGCGUGACGCGUUUAAGAACAAAUCAUCCAAUCUGAUUCGUACGGUUUAGAGAAAAACUUACAACGUGUACUGUGCGACGUAAUUUGGCAAGCAUCGUAAAUUAAAUCAUUAGAACUAUUAGGAAAAACUUUGUUACAUAAAAGCGAUUGUGGAUAAUCAUUAGCGGACAGUACACACAUCUGUAUGAAUCAAAAGUGAUGAAAAUUUCGUCGUACCUAAUUAACAUAUAUAAUAAAAUAUAAUAUGUAAUAUAUUAUUGCGUGUACGUCUCAAUUGCGUUGGAGCUAUCGUAGUAAGUAGUUCGUCCGAUUUCGGUUAGCUACGAUUUCAACUGGACUGUAUAUAAUCUAAUAUACUGCCGUUGUUUAUCCAUCGCCAUGCCGUGCAGUUUGCGAACAGUCAUCGUUCGUGUAAAUUUCAAGUACAACAAUCAGAUCUGCGCCACCGUGUACAUAACAAUAUUUGUGUACAGGUUUUCGUUGUGAAUUACACGUACAAAGUACACCAGAUGAAUAUUUCAGACGUAGUUUAAUGAAUCUACCCCAACUCCGGAUUGCAAAAUACAAAUGAUAAUAGCACAAUAAAAAAAAAAAUUAGUCACUGAAAACAAGAUGACGUCUAUGUCGUUAGACGGACAAACAGAACGACGGACGACGAGCGCAAUCGGUGGCAUAAAGAAACCGCACGAGAGAAUAAUCUUAAUCAUGUAAGACGGAUUGAUUAGUGUUUAAUAUGAUGAAAUCAUUUAUAAUAUACAAAAUGUUAAUGAAUUAUCAAUAAUAACAAUAAUUAUAAAUUA